UACAGAGGUCUCGAGCGUUGUUCGGAUUCAUUGGGCGUAAAGGGUGCGUAGGCGGCGGGGCAAGUCUGAUGUGAAAUCCCGGGGCUCAACCCUGGAACUGCAUUGGAUACUGCCUUGCUAGAGUACUGGAGAGGAAACUGGAAUUUACGGUGUAGCAGUGAAAUGCGUAGAGAUCGUAAGGAAGACCAGUGGCGAAGGCGGGUCGCUGGACGAUACCUGACACUGAGGCACGAAAGCCGGGGGAGCAAACAGG
rnacentral:rRNA from 1 species